UGCGCGCGCAACUUCGGCUGCGCAGAGCAACAUGAUGGAGGAUAAAGCUGCCGGAGCCGAGGAAAGUUGCAGAAGCAACACCAUCCCGCUACAAUUCAAAUGGACGGACGAGAAGACGAGAACCCGGAGCAGCUGAUCCGCUGGAGAGCAGCAACAACAGACUUCUCAACCGCGGUUGAAUUGGUUUGAUAUUGGAUAUUCGACAUUCAACACCCAUAAAACUUGUGAUACAUACCACUGAUUUUGGUCAUAUUGCUUAGCUUGCACUUCAACCACUGGAGCUGAGACAGCGGCUGACAGCUUGUCUCUGAUUGUUUCUCCAGAGGACAACUCAGCACGUCCAGAUGCUCCAGGGUCUUCUUCAGG